rnacentral:rRNA from 1 species
AUGGUGGUGCGUCGCGCUCGGGCCCAUGACAAGCGCGUGGCCGACUCAACCCUUGGCCUUCGUCGUAGCAGCCGUCUUGCAGGCAAGGAAGGGCCUGCCUUCCUGGACAUGACGACCAAGGCAAUCCGCGCGCGCGCUCGCAAGUUCGACCUGUCCUCCACCUCUACUGGUCUCGCUGAGGCCAUUGAUGCGGCUGGCCUGGCCGACUCCUCUGAGGUGCCAUCCGAGGGUACGGCGGCUCUGUCGCUCAUUGCUCUGCAGUGCGGCGCUACUGCAGACGACGUGCGUGAGAUCACCGCGGUGAUAUCCCCUGAGCCAUGA